UUCAUUUUCAGUAGACAGGAACCCAGUCCAUAUUAUUGUUUACUUCGUGAUCACACGUGGACGAAAUGCAGCCUGCAGAUCGACUGUUUUACUCUAUCCCUAAGUCUGACCGAGAGUCUGGCGAUGUGACCGGAGGGUUUGGCAGUUCCCUUAACAGUGCUAAACUUUUGGAAACAGUCAGAAACAGUGUGAUCGGGAGGAACAAAGUAUUUAGCGGUCCGUUUGGCCUACGUGAAGUCACCUAUCUGGACUACAUCGCAUCAGGGAGAGCUUUGUCUUUCAUAGAGGACUACAUCAGGAGUGAGGUUCUCCCGGAGUACGGCAACACACACACUACCACCAGCGUCACGUCACUCCAGACUACCCUCUACAGGCAUGAGGCCAGGGACAUCAUCCGUAAUGCUGUUCAUGCGAGUGAACAUGACUCUGUGAUAUUUGUCGGCAGUGGUUGUACCGGGGCUGUGCAUAAACUCAUCCAUGCACUGAACCUCCAGAAACCUCCUGUGGUGUUUGUGGGCCCCUACGAGCAUCACUCCAUCCUCCUGCCCUGGAAGGAGACCGGCGCCGAGGUUGUGAGAAUAAAACUGACAGGUUCGGGACUGGUUGACUGCAGGCAUCUGGAGAACCAGCUCAAGAAAUGGAAGAGCAAAGGGAGACAACUCAUUGGCUGUUUCUCCGCAGCAUCCAACAUCACAGGCAUCUUGACGGAUGUCAACCGAAUCACCAUCUGCCUACACAAGCACGGAGCGCUUGCAUUCUGGGACUACGCCACGGCGGCACCGUACGUCCGGAUAGACAUGAACCCAAUAGUUCCAGGGAGUGACCAGCCUUACGUGUACAAGGAUGCAGUGUUUAUUUCCCCCCACAAGUUUGUAGGAGGGGCUGCCACACCUGGUGUGCUGAUCGCCAAGAAAAGCUUGUUCCAGAGUGUGGCCCCCGAGGGUGGGGGAGGGGGCUCUGUCUUCUAUGUGAGGCGAGACAGUCACCGCUACCUGCAGGAGCCGGAGAUGAGGGAGGAGGGGGGGACACCGCCCAUCGUCGAAUCCGUCAGAGCUGGCCUCGUGUUCCAGCUGAAGGAGGCAGUCACACCUGAAGUCAUCAUGCAGCGAGAGCAGGAGCUGUGCAGGCUGGCUGUGGAAUCCCUCUCAUCAUGUGACAACCUCAUCAUCCUUGGUAACCAGGAUGCCCCUAGACUCCCCAUCUUCUCCUUCCUCAUCUACAAUCCCACCACCGGCAGGUUCCUCCAUCACAACUUCGUCAGCACCAUCCUCAAUGAUGUGUUUGGCAUCCAGGCUCGUGGAGGAUGUGCUUGUGCAGGACCCUAUGCUAUGGAUCUACUUGGUCUGGACGAAGUUACGGCGGAGAAAAUAGAGAAACUUUUGGUGGAAGACAGUCGCCUGGACAGAACACAUCUGAGGAGAUACCGGGAGUACUCACACAGAGAGAUACUGAGACCUGGCUUCACCCGACUCAACCUGCCCUACUUCCUGGAUGAUGCAUGCCUGGACUUUGUGAUGGAGGCCGUCAAGAUGGUGGCCGACCAUGCCUGGAAACUGCUGCCUCAGUACAUCUUCAACCCCGAGACUGGUGAGUGGAGACAGAAGAACUUCCAGGUGUUCCGAGACCGCAGAUGGCUGGGACACAUCUCUUACGUGACAGGGGAGAUGAAAUACAAGGUGCCGCCCCCUGUUGUGAAGGGACCACUGCCGUCAGGAUACGAGGACUGUCUUGACAAGGCCAGAGCUGUUUUCAAGCAAGCAGAAAAGCCCCGCGUACAGCUGCCUGACCAGACACUUCUGUUUGAUGACCAGUCACGUCCAUACAGAUGGUUCAUGCUACCUAGUGAAGCUCUGGACUGUGUCCAUGGCAACAGGGUCACACAGGUCGCACCCUCUGACCUGCCUUUUCUACCUCCACCACUGAAGAGCAGACUUGGAUUGACCAAUGGCAGGGAGGAACCUAACAGUGAUGAACUAGAAGAUGAUGAAAAUAUUUUAGGGUGUGAAGAUCAAAGCAAUAAUAAUUCUGAGAUUAUUCCGGCAUUUUCUGAAGGAAUGGUUGAAUGUUUAGAGAGGGGAUUUGAAGAUGGAGCACCUGUGAAUAAGAUUCAGUUGACGGAUAAUGAACCUCAGUCAUCAGCAGAAAAUAUUUCUGGAGCAACUUCAACAUCAGACUCUGUUGCAACAGGAAGCCUAAUAGAAGAAUCUGCUGCUGAAGUUGAUAAGGAAACUCUAUCUUUGAUGGUCCCAAGUACACAGGGGGAUAGCUCGCUUCCAGCCAUGAGUUCCAGUAAGUCUGGAGAGACCAGUGAUACAGAAAAGAAUCAAGGUGAAAAUAAACAGUUGAAUCAUUCUUUCCAAUCACCGUCGAUUGCCAGCCAGCAAGAAAGUGUAAAUGCCGCCUGUGAAGACAUUGGAGGAAGUGGUCAGCAACAGGGGUCAGUGGAGGGGUCAGUUUGUCCCUUGGUCUGUCCGCGUCCACAGAAGCCAGCCCCUGCUGGUGGCGCUGAGGGAGCAGAACUACCCAAGUGUAAAUGGUUCUCUCCCCCUAAAACAAUAUUCAAGGCAACAGUGAAGGCAGUGGAGGAACACAACAUGAUCCACGAUGGCGACCGUCUGCUUGUGUGUCUGUCGGGAGGCAAGGACUCGCUGUCGCUGCUGCACACCAUCAGACAGUACCAGUUCUACUGCAAGGGGCAGGUAUCCUGGAGACGGCCGAGAACCUGCCCGACGGCUGUGCAUCUAUCUGCAGCUUCUGCAGCCGCAUGAAGCGUGGCCGCAUCUACGCCGCCGCCCGUAGGGAAGGAUACAACGUGCUGGCUCUCGGACAGCAUCUGGAUGACCUGGCAGAGAGUUUCCUGAUGUCCUUUUUUCACAACGGUGUGAUCAGAACAAUGAAGGCACACUACACUGUCCA
rnacentral:misc_RNA from 1 species